rnacentral:lncRNA from 1 species
GGUCUUCAGAAAUGGCCUUAAGGUGCUUUAAAUUUUGCACACAAGGCGUGAAAAUCAAGAGGGCAGGGGCCUAAGGUUGGAGAGAUGGCUCAGCAGUUAAAACACUGACUGUUCUUCCAGGAGACCCAGGUUCAAUGUCUAGCACCAGCACGGUGUGCAAAACUACCCGUAAGUCCAGUUCCAGGAGAUGUGACACCUUCUUCUGCCU